GAUGAACGCUGGCGGCGUGCUUAACACAUGCAAGUCGAACGAUGAACCGGGUGCUUGCACUCGGGGAUUAGUGGCGAACGGGUGAGUAACACGUGAGCAACCUGCCCCUGACUCUGGGAUAAGCGCUGGAAACGGCGUCUAAUACUGGAUAUGUCCCGUCACCGCAUGGUGUGCGGGUGGAAAGAUUUUUCGGUUGGGGAUGGGCUCGCGGCCUAUCAGCUUGUUGGGGAGGUAAUGGCUCACCAAGGCGUCGACGGGUAGCCGGCCUGAGAGGGUGACCGGCCACACUGGGACUGAGACACGGCCCAGACUCCUACGGGAGGCAGCAGUGGGGAAUAUUGCACAAUGGGCGGAAGCCUGAUGCAGCAACGCCGCGUGAGGGAUGACGGCCUUCGGGUUGUAAACCUCUUUUAGCAGGGAAGAAGCGAGAGUGACGGUACCUGCAGAAAAAGCACCGGCUAACUACGUGCCAGCCGCCGCCGUAAGAC
rnacentral:rRNA from 1 species